CAGUAGCCACGGUAAUGCGAAGGGUGCAAGCGUUAAUCGGAACUACUGGGCGUAAAGCGUGCGCAGGCGGUUUGUUAAGACAGAUGUGAAAUCCCCGAGCUUAACUCGGGAACUGCACUUGAAACUGGCAGGCUAGAGUCUCGUAGAGGGGGGUAGAAUUCCAGGUGUAGCGGUGAAAUGCGUAGAGAUCUGGAGGAAUACCGGUGGCGAAGGCGGCCCCCUGGACGAAGACUGACGCUCAGGUACGAAAGCGUGGGGAGCAAACAGGAUUAGAUACCCCUGUAGUCCCUGUCUCUUAUAC
rnacentral:rRNA from 1 species